rnacentral:tRNA from 1 species
GAACUUUUAAGCUUAAAUAGCAAUUCACUUACACUGAAAAGAUACUUUUAAAUUUUUAUACAUUUCA